UCGAAAGUGCGGCUGACUAUACAUGCAGUCCGAGCGCUACGGAUGUGCACCUUGCUCCCUAGAUGUCAGGGGCGGACGGGUGAGUAACACGUGGGUAACCUGCCUGUAAGACUGGGAUAACUCCGGGAAACCGGGGCUAAUACCGGAUGCUUGAUUGAACCGCCCGGUUCAAUUAUUAAAGGUGGCUUUUACCUACCACUUACAGAUGGACCCCCGGCGCACUAUCUAGUUGGUGAGGUAACGGCUCACCAAGGCGGCGAUGCGUAGCCCCCUGAGAGGGUGAUCGGCCACACUGGGACUGAGACACGGCCCACACUCCUACGGGAGGCAGCAGUAGGGAAUCUUCCGCAAUGGACGAAAGUCUGACGGAGCAACGCCCGUGAGUGAUGAAGGUUUUCGGAUCGUAAAACUCUGUUGUUAGGGAAGAAAAGUACCGUUCGAAUAGGGCGGUACCUUGACGGUACCUAACCAAAAAGCCACGGCUAACUACGUGCCAGCAGCCGCGGUAAUACGUAGGUGGCAAGCGUUGUCCGGAAUUAUUGGGCGUAAAGCGCGCGCAGGCGGUUUCUUAAGUCUGAUGUGAAAGCCCCCGGCUCAACCGGGGAGGGUCAUUGGAAACUGGGGAACUUGAGUGCAGAAGAGGAGAGUGGAAUUCCACGUGUAGCGGUGAAAUGCGUAAAGAUGUGGAGGAACACCAGUGGCGAAGGCGACUCUCUGGUCUGUAACUGACGCUAAGGCGCGAAAGCGUGGGGAGCGAACAGGAUUAGAUACCCUGGUAGUCCACGCCGUAAACGAUGAGUGCUAAGUGUUAGAGGGUUUCCGCCCCUUUAGUGCUGCAGCAAACGCAUUAAGCACUCCGCCUGGGGAGUACGGUCGCAAGACUGAAACUCAAAGGAAUUGACGGGGGCCCGCACAAGCGGUGGAGCAUGUGGUUUAAUUCGAAGCAACGCGAAGAACCUUACCAGGUCUUGACAUCCUCUGACACCCCUAGAAAUAGGGCUUUCCCUUCGGGGGCAAAAAAGACAGGUGGUGCAUGGUUUUCGUCACCUCCUGUCCUGAAAAUUUUGGGUUAAAUCCCCCCACCAAGGCCAACCCUUGAUCUUAUUUGCCACCAUUAAUUUGGGGACUCUUAGGUGACGGCCGGUGACAA
rnacentral:rRNA from 1 species